rnacentral:lncRNA from 1 species
UGUUUGUCAAAAAUAUUUGCCUUAACUUUAGAACCUCAUAAAUUCCAUUCUGUGUUCCAUUUGUUUUUUUUCAGUUUGCCCUUUGUGAAGCAUGAAGAGAAUCUGUGGCAUCUCAGUGACACAUCAAAAUUGCAUAUUGUAUAUCAUACAAAAAUGGAAAAUGAUUAGAAAUCAUGUUUUGGCCAAAAUACUUUUUUAUUAAGUGUUGGGGAAAAAUACAAUGCUAGCUGAGAAGAUUAAGCAACUAGAAGGCCCUGAUACAGUUAGGGCCUUCUAGCCACCACAAGUGGUGGAAUUGACCUCCGUGGGAAUUCUUCAUGAAGCUUCAAAGAUGAAAGAGAAAGAUACUGAAGAAAAAAAUAUAAGAUAUAAGAGCCAUACAUUUGUGAAGGGAAUAAUUAACCCCUUGGCACCAGGAGUUGGGCCUCCCAAAUGGCAACUGCAAAUGAAAACUGUCUCAGAGCUGAGUGUUGGGAAAUCCUGGCAUCUAGGAGUGAGGUCUGGACUACAGUGCAAGAAAUCAUAACUGUCCCAGCCUAGUAUUAUCUAAUUUCUACAUUGGAAACUGGCAAGAAAACACUAGCUCCCAAAUGGGGUUUGUUUUAUACAAGUUGAAAAUGAAAUUUUAUAUAUUCAGUAAGUCCUUUCAUAAUAUUUCUCAGAAAAAAACAACAACACAAACCUAAGACCAAAAAAAUAGUCCUGGUUCUGUGAUUAUGAUCCCCUAAACUUGCUUUAAAUACAUAUAAAAUCUACCUAACUGGGGAACUCUUUUAAUUUGCUUUUCAGUAUUUUAAGAGGAAGGGGCUGAACUGACAUUUACAAGAAACUUUCCUUUACCCUCUCUGGGCAAAAUUGAAAUUGUGCUUAAGAAAUCCAGUAGAUAGCAGUUUAUCCAAUGGCAGCUGGGAAUUCCUUCCCCAAACACAUAGGUCCACAACAUUGGAUAUUGCAUUUAUACUCCAGAUCAUCACCAAAACACAAUACUUCAACUAAUAAAAUCCCAGUGCACAAGCUACUAUGUAUUAGC